rnacentral:rRNA from 1 species
CUGCGCGGAAAAUAUAACGGGGCUAAGCAUAUAACCGAAGCUUGGGAAGUCGAAUGACUUGGUAGGGGAGCGUCGUGGUACCGGGGUGAAGCAUGAGCGGAAGCACGUGUGGACUGUACACGAGUGAGAAUGCCGGAAUGAGUAGCGAGAAUUAUGUGGGAAUCAUAAUGGCCGAAAAUCUAAGGUUUCCUGGGCAAGGUCGUCCUCCCAGGGUAAGUCGGGAGCUAAGGCGAGGCCGAGAGGCGUAGUCGAUGCACAUACGGUUGAAAUUCCGUAACCACCGAAGGAUUUAAGCACAGGGACACAUAGAGAUAGCGGGACCCCGGCGUUGGUUGACCGGGGCGCAAGGGACCGAACAUCAGUAGGGAAGUCCGCGAUGCUCUGUGGCGAGAAAAGCUGUGUGUAUAUCUUAGGUGCCCGUACCGCAAACCGACACAGGUAGAUGAGGAGAGAAUCCUAAGGCCAACGGGAGAAGGGUUGUUAAGGAACUCGGCAAAUUGACCCCGUAACUUUGGAAGAAGGGGAGCCCCCGUUUUGGGGGCCGCAGAGAAUAGGCCCA